AACGAACGCUGGCGGCAGGCUUAACGCAUGCAAGUCGAACGAUGUAGCAAUACAUAGUGGCGCACGGGUGAGUAACGCGUGGGAAUAUACCUUAUAGUGGGGAAUAACUUCGGGAAACUGAGGCUAAUACCGCAUACGCCCGAGAGGGGAGAGAUUUAUCGCUAUAAGAUUAGCCCGCGUGAGAUUAGGUAGUUGGUGGGGUAAUGGCCUACCAAGCCGACGAUCUCUAGCUGGUCUGAGAGGAUGAUCAGCCACACUGGAACUGAGACACGGUCCAGACUCCUACGGGAGGCAGCAGUGGGGAAUAUUGGACAAUGGUCGCAAGCCUGAUCCAGCCAUGCCGCGUGAAUGAUGAAGGCCUUAGGGUUGUAAAGUUCUUUCGCCGAUGAAGAUAAUGACGGUAGUCGGAGAAGAAGCCCCGGCUAACUUCGUGCCAGCCGCCGCAGUAA
rnacentral:rRNA from 1 species